UGCAGAAUCCCGUGAACCAUCGAGUUUUUGAACGCAAGUUGCGCCCGAAGCCUUUUGGCCGAGGGCACGUCUGCCUGGGCGUCA
rnacentral:rRNA from 4 species